GAUGAAGAACGUAGCAAAAUGCGAUAAGUAAUGUGAAUUGCAGAAUUCAGUGAAUCAUCGAAUCUUUGAACGCACAUUGCGCCCCCUGGUAUUCCGGCGGGCAUGCCUGUUCGAGCGUCAUUUCAACCCUCAAGCCCCCGGGUUUGGUGUUGGGGAUCGGCUCUGCCCUUCUGGGCGGUGCCGCCCCCGAAAUACAUUGGCGGUCUCGCUGCAGCCUCCAUUGCGUAGUAGCUAACACCUCGCAACUGGAACGCGGCGCGGCCAUGCCGUAAAACCCCAACUUCUGAAUGUUGACCUCGGAUCAGGUAGGAAUACCCGCUGAACUUAAGCAUAUCAAUAAGCGGAGGA
rnacentral:misc_RNA from 1 species